rnacentral:rRNA from 1 species
GACGAACGCUGGCGGCGUGCCUAAUACAUGCAAGUAGAACGCACAGUUUAUACCGUAGCUUGCUCCACCAUAGACUGUGAGUUGCGAACGGGUGAGUAACGCGUAGGUAACCUGCCUGGUAGCGGGGGAUAACUAUUGGAAACGAUAGCUAAUACCGCAUAAUAUUAAUUAUUGCAUGAUAAUUAAUUGAAAGGUGCAAUUGCACCACUACCAGAUGGACCUGCGUUGUAUUAGCUAGUAGGUGAGGUAACGGCUCACCUAGGCGACGAUACAUAGCCGACCUGAGAGGGUGAUCGGCCACACUGGGACUGAGACACGGCCCAGACUCCUACGGGAGGCAGCAGUAGGGAAUCUUCGGCAAUGGACGAAAGUCUGACCGAGCAACGCCGCGUGAGUGAAGAAGGUUUUCGGAUCGUAAAGCUCUGUUGUAAGAGAAGAACGGGUGUGAGAGUGGAAAGUUCGCACUGUGACGGUAUCUUACCAGAAAGGGACGGCUAACUACGUG